rnacentral:misc_RNA from 1 species
GGAAAUAGUUGUAAUAGCGUAACCUCAUGCAUGUUUUUCUUGUGUUAAAAGUCUUAGGUCUAAGAUAUGGUGGUUGUGAGGGUGAUUUGGUGGGUCUCCAUGUUUUGUAUUAUUGACCCAUUAUCANNNNNNNNNUGAGAAGGGUUGACAUAUUAGAUUAAUCUUUUUUAACGCUUAAUCAAAUACUCCUUUCUCCCUACUCAAACACAGCAAAACUACUUUUGAGAAAACGGGC